rnacentral:siRNA from 1 species
CAAUCAUUUCGAAUUAUCGACCA